UAUAUCUUUGAGGAAGAAAAUUAAACACUGCAAAUUUCAAUGCAAAUAAGGUGCUGGGAAAAAAAUAUACAUAUUCAUGAAAAGAAAACUUGAUAUUCACAAAUAAACCGUGAUUUUCGCAAGACGUUGAAGAAGAUAAGUCAAUAUUGAAAGAAGAAGCGAUUCCGUAAUUAGGUAUUACACCAUGGAAUCAAGGUGAUGAAAUGGACAAAGUACACAAGGAGAUUCCCAACUAGACAGGCAACGGACGAGUGUGAAAUGAUUCUGAUAUAAAUGGAAUUUAUUGAUAGAAAAGUGAAAUUGAGAGCAAAAGUGAGCGUGACUACGUUUUAUUGCCCCGGAUGAAGGCUCUGCAGAAAGGAGUGAACCUGAUUUGUUGAACAUGGUGGAUAAAGCUGACAUCUCGUUGACUCUUCCAAGAAAAAAUGGCCCUUCUAAAUCCAAGUCAUAUAAAAAUGAGGGAACUUUCAAAAGGAAAAAGAAUUUAAAGCGUAGUCAGAAUAUUGAUAUUGAAGAUGAAAUGGUGGAUGAACAUGGUAUUCAUGAGGAGGAUGAAUAAGUAGAACUUGAACCAAGUACUUGGUUAGAAGAUAAAGAGAAAGAGACGAUGAAAGAUGACAAUCUGAUGGAGAGUUCUAAUGGAGAAAAACACAUCUCCAUUAAAGAUCAGACAAACAAAAGUGUUGGUAUUGUUGCUGAUGGGUCUGUUGAUGCAUCAUUGCAGACAACGCCAAAGUCAAAAUCACAGACUUCUGAUGAACAAAAUGAGGCUGGAAAAUCUGAAAAUCCAGAUAAAGGUGACAGUCUCCAUAUAUAUGAGACACCAGUGAAGGAGUAUGAUGUGGAUUUCCAUCUUGUGGCCGGCACUAAGUGGAGCGGUGGGUGUCUCCACAUCAAGGACCCGUCAUCUCUCUAGCAUCUCCACUAAGAGUGACAAGUCCAACUGUAGUGAUCUGUCGGCAGUCUUCUCUCCCAUCAAAGAUCUGAAGAACAUGGAAGGGGAAGAUGAAAACACUGAAAGACUUCCUGUUAAAAGGGAGAUUUCUGGUGACUUUGAGAACAGGAAGAGGAAACGACUGAGUGAACCAGCGUCCAGGAAACGCAGACGGAGGUGAUGGCCCCUUUCCUUUAGAAAGUUGUUCCAAGUACAGGACAUUUUGUGAACUUCAGAUGUUCUAAUUAGUUAUAUUUAAUUAUAAUCUAUGAACUUUAUCUCACAAGUACAAUAACAUAUAUUUAUAUAUAUAUUAAUUGGACUAGGUGUUUUUGUAUAUUUAAGUACAUGUAUUAUUUUGUAAAAGGUUAUAAAUAAUUAUGACAUAUAAAUUCUUCUCAAUUUCGCAUUAGUCAUUCAUUGUUAAAACUUUAGUGCAAUACCAAUAGAACACUAUUUAUGCAUGUAUAUUUGUCAUAAAAAUCUAAUGCAUUAAAAAUAUUGAAAUUUUUUAAUUGUUCUGUAGAUUCCAAGUUUUGGAAAACUUUGGCUUGAAAUUGUUUUUUAAAAAUCUUAACGUGUUGAAAAUUUAGAUACAAUAUAUGUUGACUUUACCAAAAGGAAAUGGGGCGUCAUUUUCUGUUUUAUAAGGAAGCAUUGUUUUAAUUAUCAAAUGCAAUAUCUUGGACAUUUAGUUGUAAAAAAAUAAAAUCAUAUAUAAAACAAAUGAAAACUCAACUUGCUCAACAAUCAUGUAUUAUAUCACGUAUAUAAUAUAUAAUAUAAUGAAUGAGGAAAUGAUGACUGGAUUUUAAUUACCAAAAUUACCAAUUAGCCAAAAUAAUGAAUAUGUAAGUAUAAUAUAAUAUGUAUGAUAUUGAAUGAGGAAAAAUGACUGGACUUUAACUACCUGUUCAGUAUACCUAAGUUAUAAAAAAUUACCAAAAUAAUGAAAAUGGUUUCUGCUUUAUUUUUUCAAUCAC